GUCCUCUCAGGGUCGCACCUGGAGAGUUUCCAGUACUCUAUCAGUCCUGAUUAUGGGAGGGAGAGUCAAGCAGAGGCCUAUCCAUUCCAUUCCUAGCUUGACCAGUGGCUAGCGAGAGGAAGGCAAUCUGCUACAAGU
rnacentral:snoRNA from 1 species